AUUGGUCAGUGGUUCCAUUUUUUUUAAUUCUCUGCAUUUUUUAUAUGCUUUAUUCAGCUCAUAUUUUGCAGCAUAUAAUGUAUGAAUUUCCAUAUUUACCUUAAUUAGAUAAACAGGAACAGAGGAAUAAAGCCAAUUAGAAUGUAUGGAACUUCCAGUCUUUCUGUAAUAUGUCACAGAGUAAGGCAUAACUAAACGCACUGCUGAGAAAAUGAGCGUAGAGGAUUACAGUAGUAUAAUGCUAAUCCCUACUAUAUACACUCCAUAUACGAUAUACAUUUUAUAUACAUUUAUUAUGUAUACAUAUUUUAUAUACAUCUCUGGAAACAGACCGCAUGUUAGAAAGGCUCGUGUAGCUUUAAGGAACACUGCUGCGUGCAAAGGCCUGUGGGUGCACACGUGACGAGAGCGCGCGGGAGAGCCUGAAGGAAUAGGCAGCACGUCGGCGAGCUGCAGUUUAUGUGUAGUUAGUUUAGUUGUUCCUGGCAGUAAAUGGAGUCCCUGGUUUUUUAUGUAUGCGUCACUGACGAAUAACCAUACAUAAAUACAAACUUACUUACCAACCCACUUCGUCUGACUGCAUCCAACUGACUUCAAGUAAGAUAAGCCAGAGUACAACUAAUUGCUCCCCCCUCCUGAUUGAGAACGUGUAUCUGGUGAAAUACGGUCAGCAGCCCCCCCCCCCCCUUCCCCGAAUCUUGUCUAUCCUGAAUAGUGACUGAUAUCCCACAGCGAGUACUACCCUCCUGCAGAAACCCCUUACAGUUUCCUAGGGGAGUGUGGCCCCCCUUUCCCACACCGCAUCAAAUUUGAACCGCAUUGAUGAAGGGCUUCUUCCUUGCUUUAUGGGUCUUCACCGCUGCUUCUAGGAGCCUGUCCCACCAGUACACUUCAUACUGUUUUCCAUUCCUUUUUUAAGGUCACUUGAGGUCAUCCUCCGAUUUGUUAGACACUGACGGAUAAGUUGAUGGUCAUCUCUGGCAUUAGAAGGUUGCUUCUGCCCUCUACCUGUGUACUGCGGUCUUAGAAACUCAUGAGCAUGGAAGCAGCCUGCCUCACAGUGUAGCCUUCUGCCAGCAGAACCAGGAUUAAACCAGAAUUUAACAAUGCAGAUUUUAAAAAGUAUAUAGAGUGGUCUCUUAAUUUUUUACAGAGCUGUGUGUUGUUUACAUGUAUCUAUUUUAUGUUUUGGCUGCAUGUUUGAACCUGAGAGCAGUUUUCAAAUGGAGUUUGUUUGAGAAUACUACAUUCACACCCCCAAAACCUUCGUAUCCCAAAUACUGCAUCAUGAAAGGUGAAAACUGGUAGGUUUAUGCUGGUGAAAUAAUGAAGAUAGAUGCUGCUGCUUUUAAAUCAUUCACAAGGUUGUUUAUUGAAAUGGUUUAUUGAAAGGCAUCUAACAAUUUCAAACACAUAUGGAGAUAUAAUAGACAUUCGCCUCAGAAUUAUAUUUUAUGUAAUUUUAUCUUUAAAGUGACCUUAUUAAAUUUGUUCCCCGAAGUAAUAAUUUCAUCUCACACCCUGAGUGCUUUUGCACUCUGGUUAUAUGUGCUGUUAGUGUGCUAGCAGCAUUUUCUACCCAGGGAGUCUGAUCGAAACCCAAAAUCAAGCUGCUGCUGUGAGCUCCUGCUGAGCACCCUGCUCGGAGGCAUGUACACUCGACGGACGCUACGGAGUGCUCCAGUGACCGCCCACUAGUACAUAUCUGCUGGACUCGACACUCGCCGUACCGUACACCAGACAAAGCAUAACACAGUGUGGUGAACAGUGAUUUCUAUCAUCUAUAUUCUUGUCCUCAGUAGGUGUUAUGAUGCUGACGUGUCACUGAACGUGUCAGGCAAUGUAGUCCAUAUCUGGUUUGAUAUCUUACUCCUGGGGAUACCUGCAUUUCUAGGAACACAUUGAACUGCUUAUAGACUUUUCACAUUUCCCUUUGUCUUCAUGAAAUAGUUUCUCAAUUGGAUUUCUACAGAAGUUCAGAAGAGCAGGCCUUGAUUUCUUUGGACAACCUGUGCUUAAAGCAUGUGACUGGACAUUAUUAUUCUUAGAGAUGGAGAAAUAUGCGUCUUCUCUGUUCAUUCCUAGAAUAAGGAAUGAAAUACAGGCAAUCUACAGCCCAAGGAAGGCAGACAACCGCCUCUAUCUGAUUACAUGGUCGGUAAGAUCAGUUUCCUGGGGAACUCAGUGACUGGAGAUUGCAGGAGGAGGUGCGUCCAAGCAACUAGACAAGGCAGGACCAAUCAGAUGUCUUGGUCCUGCCUCCACUAGUUGCUUGGACCCACCCCCUCUACAAUCUGAUUGGUAAUCUCUCUGAACCAAUCACGUUUUGUUCUGCCCUCAGAGCAUUUUUGUAUAAAAUAUAAGCAUACCACGAGUAUACUUUGCUUUUUUAUUCCUUAUUUGUUGUGUUUAGUUUGUUUUUAUUUUAUAUGGUUUGUGUGUCUAGACUGUGCCAACAUGUUCCAUGUAUGAAAAUAUUGUACAGGACUUCUGCUGAUUGCACUUUGUACAUUUUCACAGCUGUGCAAAUAUUGGUUUGAUUGGCCUGUUGGCGCAUAAGUGUGCAUGCUGUUGAGGUAUAUUUUACAGGACAGUUAAAGCAUUUCUUUUGUACCCAGUUGUUAAUUCUUCAUUGUGCAUCUGCAGUUUUGUAAAUAAGUGUCAGUGUUUGACAAUUUUGCCUGUGCAAUCAAAAACUACUGAGAAAGUCUUCUGAGAGAAACUUAAUUUGGACUAUUGUCUGUAUGGCUUAAAAGUACAAGGUCAUGCAUCUAUCUCAUCAGUGCGAUUUAGCAAAGGCAUAGUAACUCUCAUUGCUGUCAGUGCUUUGAGCAGAAAUUCAGGCUGGUUGAGGAAUACAGCAUUUUAAUGUCCUUCACUGUUAACUUAAAAAGGUUCCAUGCCAUUUUGUUUUUCAGACACUAAGUGAACUAUAGACAAGGUCUCACUUAGAUGCAGUUCUCCUUGACGUAGCUGCGUUUGAUUUGUGGCUGGUGUGUAGCUGGCCUCUGAGAUGUUGCUCAUGACCCUGUUCAGCGCAGGAAACAUCCAUCAGUGAGCAGGAGGGUGUUCCUUGCUGCGGCACGCAAGAAGAUGAAAUCCAGGCCUUCUAACUGAAAAGUUGUGCCUUUACAAUGGAGAUUUCCAUGGACGCCUGAGCGCGACCUAUGCAACGCGGACUCCCUAUUGCCAAACUCGCAGCCGCCAGUUAC